rnacentral:rRNA from 1 species
GACGAACGUUGGCGGCGUGCUUAACACAUGCAAGUCGAACGGAAAGGCCCUGCUUUUGUGGGGUGCUCGAGUGGCGAACGGGUGAGUAACACGUGAGCAACCUGCCCUUGACUUUGGGAUAACUUCAGGAAACUGGGGCUAAUACCGGAUAGGAGCUCCUGCUGCAUGGUGGGGGUUGGAAAGUUUCGGCGGUUGGGGAUGGACUCGCGGCUUAUCAGUUUGUUGGUGGGGUAGUGGCUUACCAAGGCCUUGACGGGUAGCCGGCCUGAGAGGGUGACCGGCCACAUUGGGACUGAGAUACGGCCCAGACUCCUACGGGAGGCAGCAGUGGGGAAUAUUGCACAAUGGGCGGAAGCCUGAUGCAGCAACGCCGCGUGCGGGAUGACGGCCUUCGGGUUGUAAACCGCUUUCGCCUGUGACGAAGCGUGAGUGACGGUAAUGGGUAAAGAAGCACCGGCUAACUACGUGCCAGCAGCCGCGGUGAUACGUAGGGUGCGAGCGUUGUCCGGAUUUAUUGGGCGUAAAGGGCUCGUAGGUGGUUGAUCGCGUCGGAAGUGUAAUCUUGGGGCUUAACCCUGAGCGUGCUUUCGAUACGGGUUGACUUGAGGAAGGUAGGGGAGAAUGGAAUUCCUGGUGGAGCGGUGGAAUGCGCAGAUAUCAGGAGGAACACCAGUGGCGAAGGCGGUUCUCUGGGCCUUUCCUGACGCUGAGGAGCGAAAGCGUGGGGAGCGAACAGGCUUAGAUACCCUGGUAGUCCACGCUGUAAACGGUGGGUACUAGGUGUGGGGUCCAUUCCACGGGUUCCGUGCCGUAGCUAACGCUUUAAGUACCCCGCCUGGGGAGUACGGCCGCAAGGCUAAAACUCAAAGGAAUUGACGGGGCCCCGCACAAGCGGCGGAGCAUGCGGAUUAAUUCGAUGCAACGCGUAGAACCUUACCUGGGUUUGACAUGGAUCGGGAGUGCUCAGAGAUGGGUGUGCCUCUUUUGGGGUCGGUUCACAGGUGGUGCAUGCCUGUCGUCAGCUCGUGUCGUGAGAUGUUGGGUUAAGUCCCGCAACGAGCGCAACCCUUGUUCACUGUUGCCAGCACGUUAUGGUGGGGACUCAGUGGAGACCGCCGGGGUCAACUCGGAGGAAGGUGGGGAUGACGUCAAGUCAUCAUGCCCCUUAUGUCCAGGGCUUCACGCAUGCUACAAUGGCUGGUACAGAGAGUGGCGAGCCUGUGAGGGUGAGCGAAUCUCGGAAAGCCGGUCUCAGUUCGGAUUGGGGUCUGCAACCCGACCUCAUGAAGUCGGAGUCGCUAGUAAUCGCAAAUCAGCAACGCUGCGGUGAAUACGUUCCCGGGGC